UUCACUUUGCAAAUCCUCAUCCUCCUUUGGUGAAACCAUCCGUGCAUCCCCUAAACUUUGACUCACACUCUCUGUCUUACUGAAAGUGCCAUUUCCAAGGGAGGCACAGUCUCUGUCUGCAUCAGCUCAACCUUUUUAGUGGCCAGUGGCAUCAGCAGGGCCUCGUGGGCAGAGCCUGAGCUCCUGUGUGGCUCUGCUGGCACUGGUGACGAUGUGAUGGCCCCGACACAUACGCAGCUCUAAAUUCAACUACUCAGUGGACAGGUUGGCUCAGCCUCCUAAAUCACAUUCUCCAGCCUUCAAAUCAUUUCUGUAGGGAUGUGGAUGCACACAUGAGGAAUCAUGUUGCACUCCGAAUUCUCUGCUUCUGGAUAUGAAAUUUUAUAUCUAAUGUCCAUUUUCAAUCCAUUCCUGAACAUCAGUCAAAGGGAAAGGAAGGGACUAUUUCAGAUUAAAAGGUCAACACAUAAGAAGUUCCACUUAAGGCUGUGAUUCACUGUAUAAAGUGCUGAAGAGGACUCUGUGAGGGAUGCUCAGUUCUGCAAAGUGUGUUGACUUUUUGAUGAGGCAUUAGGCGAGGUUUCCUAUCAUUACAGACUCUAUGGAGUUGUUAACAAUAUGAUUUAAAAGCCAAAUUCCUACUGGCCGGUGCCUGCCUGGCCCACUCAUGUACCCCACCUCACUGCUCAGCUUUAUUUAUUCCAUUUCACUCUUCACUUUAAAAAUCCCAUUGUGUGGCCUUCCCAGUGAAGAGCAGCUAUGUUUCAUCUCAGACAUGCCUUCAGUAACAAGGGAAGGGGUUUGCCUUUACUCUUCAGCCUUUUCAAAGAGAGGCAUUUUAUUAUAUGGGAAAAAACAUUACACUGACUGAGGUAAAAUUUUGGUCAGGCCUUGUAAAACAAACUCAGUGACUUUAAAGUAAUAAAACUUUCUGUGGCACUUUGCCAGAGCUGAUCUUCUAUGCUAUACUUCAGUAAUAAGUAGGGAUGUGCUGACAGAAACCUUGAGGCUUCCAACCUGUGCUCUGUGUAGUGCCUCAAGGGAUUUUCUGGAAAGCAACUGCUUUUCCAAAGUUAAACAUUUUUAUCUCCCUUCCCAAAAUGGCCAUCAGACCAGUGGUAUUUCAGACAAGAAAACGUGUUUACUUCCACGUCUUUCAUGCUGUCAACAGAAAAUAUUUUAAAUUGCAGGCAAAGUUUCCAAGAAAGCAGAGAUGGAGAUUUUCUUUGCUUUAAAUUUUGGAGUACCUUCCAGCAGUCCUCCUCCUGUCUUUGCACCACUCCCUUGCUCAGCUGGGAGCCUGGAGAUCUGAGCCCACGACUUGACCACGGAUCUGUCUGGGGACUCUGUGUUUGGGUACUGUGGGCCAAGGAGUACAUUUGGUACACACAGUGCCAGCCACAACACAGCCCUGAGCUUGGCAGGAGCCUUCUGGCCAGGGGUGGAAAACUCUUCUAGUAUUUACACUUAUUUGGCUAUGCAGUGGAUAUUAUCCCUUUUUCCAGCCCAGAUCUCUAUGAGAGCCAAACCUGGCCAUGAUGUCCAUCACUGUUAAUGCUGUACCAAUAGCUAAGCUCUUGGUGAAAGUUUGGCAUAAAAACAUUGUGCCUUGCUGAUUAGUCACAACCGGUGACUAUCACAGCUUUAAAAAUUGUGAUCAUGGGGUCUUGUCUUGCGACCCUGCUGCCCACCCUUUUCCCUGCAGAGAGAGAGGAAUAAAUAUUUACUACCUCUCAAAAUAACACCCAGCCACACUCACCCUUACUGCUGCAGAGUAGUUCAUCUAAUUGAAAUAAGAACAUAAGUAAAUUGUUUGUCAAGGCAGUUUAUUAGAAAAAGAUUGCUGUGUCAGGAGCUUCCUCACUGUGAGAGAUGCUGUGUUGUCUCUCUUAAUAUUUAAUGUCAUUUUAAUAAUAUUCCCCAGUUAGGGGUGCAGGCUGAUGCUAUACACUAAGCCUGCCAAAGUGGGGAGGAAUAAAAGCUUGAGGUCAGCUUAAUUCCAUUGACUUUUCCACCUGGAGGCUGGGUAAAGAGCAAUGCUGCACUUUUUCCAAGGGACUCAGCCACUCCCCGGUACUUCUCUCAGCAGCUUUAUCUCAGAUUUGUGGAUUUUGCCUUUCACUCACUCAGAAUGACACUUUAAAAGGUAAGGACCACAUCCUGAGGAGGUAGAGAUGAGAAACCCACCUUUCUGUCCUCUGACAAACCCAUUUCUCUUUGCGAUGCUGUCCCCCUUGGGCUCGUUAAUCAGGCAGUACCAUAAACCACUGAAUUUCUCCUAUUUGCAUUUGCAGUUACAGCACUCUUGCCUCAGUGGCAAGUCUUGUUUUGGAAACCUCUGGGUUAAAGUCAGAAGUGUUUUAGCCCAAAGAGUGGGGAUCUGCAGCUUAAGUAUCAAAGCCCCCUGCUCGUAAAGCAUCUGCCAACGCCGCCUCGGUGUCACCCUCCAGCCCUCACAGACCUGCCUCGCCUGCAAAGCUGCUGCACUGAUGGUGCCUCAGUCCCCAUGCCAUCCCUCCAGACAUCUCCUGGCAGCAAUGCCCAGCUCAGGCUCUUCCUUGUUGUGAAAGGCUCCUGGCUGAAGGACUGUGGAGUCAGAGCCUUUUGAAGCUGCUGCAUAAUAAGCUGUAUUCUUUACCCAAACAUCACUAGACAGUUCAAUAAUUACAUGAACUUUGUAAUCAGCCAAACAAGCAUAGCCAUCUACCUGACGUACACGUAGCACUUGUGAGUAAUUUUAUAUAAAUGCCACGUACUUUUGUACUUAGUGCACAGGCCUUGUGCACAAACAGCUAUAGAAGGAGGGCCCAAUUAUAAAUAAACUGUCCUUAGUUGUCACUUUGCUGUCUCUGACUUCCCACGCAUUCAAAUUGUGAGACUGAUUCAUUUAAUCUUACUCUAAAGCAGCAAGCCACAGAGUCAGUUUCCUGACAGUUGUUCUAAAAAGUGUAGCUGAGCUCUCUUAAAUUGUCUUCCCUUGUAUUAUAUUUAGACAUUGUGAUUAGAGUAUCUGUCAUGAUAUGCUUUUACUUUAAGGCAGAAGUUCAAGCCGCUUUCUGAAAGCAGAGAUGCUCCUGGGAGCCGAAGGGGCACGAGUGCUGGGGUUCAGCAUUUGGGAGCAGAGAUCUUCAGCACUGCUUGUGCUGCUGGCUCCCCUGCACAGCCAACCUCAUGAAAACCUGAGUUUUCAAGUAAGUGCAACGUUACUUACCAUAAUGAGACUACAGGGAAGGAUGGAGGCAGCGAAAUACUUAGCGGCUGUUUCCAAGGGUUUUAGAAAUUUCAGCUGAGCAAUUCUUACAAUCCUCUCUUCUCCCUUCCUUCCCUCUUCUCCCCCCCAGAUCUUGUCAGAGGCUUGGAUGCAAGAUCUGGACAUUCCUGUCAUAUGAGCAUGGCUUUUAUAUGUUUGUGUCAUUGCAAAGCAGAUUAUAAUGACUACACUUCAUGCAUUUUACCCUAAUUAAGUCAGCGGAGGUUUCAACGCAGAUACAAACUUGACAUGCAGCUCUGCCCUUGACAAUUGCCUACCAAAGAGAAUACCUGAAAGCUCUUGUUUUGCUAAAUAUGCUAUUUAAUAUUUUGUAAUGCUUGGGUAAAUGCAGUCAGUGAAUGUAGAGUCUUCUAUGUUUCUAUAGUAUUGUGGAGGAGGUUAUUUGAGUUACGCUCAAGGAGGUUUCCUUGUUCCAUCACUUGCUUUGCCAGAGCACUUGUCAGAUACUGAGCUGCAGGUUCCAGCCCUGCUGACCACCAUUUGUGAUGAGGAGAUCCACAGACUCCAGCAGACCCUCAGCCACUGCUCUGAUGGCAGGAGCUCUCCAGCAGCCUGGUAAAUGUGACCAGGAUCUGACAGGCAAGACAAAGUGAAAGACCCGCUGGGCUCUGCGGCACAGGCGGGGACGGGAAGGGCUCUGUGUAGAGGGGGGAUGUAGAGAGCAGAUGCCACGCCUCUGUUGUGUUUUGUUAACCUGAAAUGAAUAGAGCUGUGGAAUUUAACACACUGAAUUGAAAGGUGAGUUUCUCCCAUGUGCUGUGUGUAGGAUGCCUGUCUUCCUCUAGCUGAUCUACAGAGAUUUGUAAAUCUAUUAUUGCUUCCACACACCCUCAUAGAAACUUGUGCUUUAGGUUUAGCAUGCAGAAAACUUUAGGUCCUUGGUCCACAUUCAUGUGUUUGUCCAAAUGUGAUUGGAUUACCAUUCCUUUAAGACUGGUCAUAUUCCUUUUCCUCAGAUAAAACUGUCAUGCUACAAGUUUUCCACCAUCCCUGUGUCUCUAGAGAGAAUCUUGGAGACUUGAAGGUGACUUUUCUGAAAAAUGGUCUCAAUAAAAUUCCAAAAAUACUUUAUAAUUUGGAGCCUGCUCCUCAACCUCCAGCAGAGAUCAAAGAGAUCCCAGAAAAAAUAUUAAGCACCAUGCAUUCCUGGGAGCUGAGCCUUUGGCUGUAAUGAAUCAAUCAACUACCCUUUUAUCAGCCAGAUAUAAACUGACUUAGGGAAUUUUGGAGCCAAAGGCUACUGGUACAAGGCUGAUGGUUUAGGCUUUGUUUUCAUUAAAAUGUUUGACUCCAAAGGAAGGUCUUUGUUUUCAAAAAGUGUUUUUAACAUCUUCCUGUUAUUUUCACCCUCAAGCUUGCUCAGCCAGUUGGGUUUGAAAAUCUUGUUCUUGCUUCCUAGUGGCAAGACUGUGUGUUGAUGGUAGGUAUGGGGUGCCAAUUACUAUCUGUCAUUGGUAUUUAUGGGGUUCCAACUGCUACGGUACUGUGGUGCCAGGUACAAUAUUGAGAUAAGCAGGGAAGUUAUUGAAUGUGGACUCUGCUCUUCCCACCUGAGUGCUUGGCCCCUUCGACUUGGAGACUUUGUCCUCUCUCCCAUGCUCAGAUGUGGGGCACCCGAGAAAAAGUGAGGUUUGUGUUUGCUGCCGAGCAGCCCCGGCCCCUGAGCCCAGCCAGGCUGUACCUGGUACCCGUGGCUCCAUCUCGGAUCACAUCCUGCUUCCAUCCCUGAUGCUGGCAUGUGAGCCAAGGCACUGGCACUGGCACCGGCGGCACCGGGAGCAGAACCCACAGAGCCUGUGGCCUGCACACCAGCUGCUGCUGAACUCUUUUCCACAGAAUGUUUUCCAAAAUCCAGCAAACUGUGUCAACUGGGAGAGCUGAAAGCAACUGAGGUGCUGCUUCCCAGGCUGUGCAGGGUCGCAGAGGUGUCCCAGUCAGACAGCACGGAAAGCUUUGAUCUCUCUGGAGAAAGAAACUGCCAUGAUGCAGAGGGCUGCUGGAGCCUGGCUGGCAUGAAUGGGAAGAAUUUCUUCCAGCUACAGCUCUGAUGGUACUAACUGAUGCCCAAGGAGAAAGCUUGAUGAUUUAGAGAUGAAGAAGAAAGGAAUUGCACCCUUGGUAAGCCCUGCCUGUGGGACAGGAACCCCGGGACAUACUGAAAAUGUUUAAAUAAGGAAUGUGCCAUGAACCAGCAUUUAUCUCCUGCUUACCCUUACAUCUAUUUCCUUACCCUCAAAUUUUCAGGAAUGAAAAGCUGUAAGGAUCAGUAAUUACGCUGAGACUUUUCCUUUAUGUAUCACUGCUCACUCAAGAAUUUCAGGCCAUUACACAAAUAGCAGUGACGUGCUUGUCAGGGGCCCUUUGAAGCACAAAGUGCCCUUGCUGCCAGUUUGUUUUCCUCGGAGGAGGAGCGGCGGCAGAGGGAGAUGAAGGGAUGGAGGCUGCAAUGCUGGGAUGCCCUCCCCUUCCUCGCCCUCCCAAGUCGCUCGUGCCCCUCUUGCUUUACCCCCAUGGGGGUUUCUGGCCUCACAACUCACCUGAGGCCAGGUUCUUUAGGGAUGAUAGGGCAUUUCCAGAUGCUUAGGUGUGCCUGGCAAACAGGGAAUGGGCACCCAGUGUUCAGCACCCAGAGCCAAGGAAGCCAGUGAUCCUACCCCCUGAUUGCUGAGAGCUGCUCCGUGACGCCAGAAGGUUCACAGAGAGCAAGCAGGGCUGGAGUCAGCUUACACUGACUCCCAAGGACCAGGCAGCAGCUUCCCAGGGAAAAAAAAAACAACAAAACAUGCCCACGUAAAUAAAGAGGGAAAUAAUUAUAUAUGAGUAAUUAACUGAGCAGAAGUAAAAAUGGGAAGCUGAAAGACUGAAAGAAAAGAGAAGUGCGUGAGAUUUUUUGUAGAUGCAGAGGCUUGCAUUUUACAUCUAAAGAAACAGAGGAAGAAAUUUAAAUGCGUAUUUAGAAAAAAAAAAUAAAAAUCCAGUGGGAAAUGUGGAAAGAACCACUUUUAUGAGGAAGCCUCUGAAGAGACAAAGCUAUAAAUGCACAGUUCCAAAUAUCAACCAUUUCUUUUUCAACAUUGCAAAACCCCCAAAUAAUUCAUACUGUACAGAGUUAAAGCAAAUUUUUGGAAAAGCACCUGGGAACAAUGCUGGGAAUUGCCCACCCACUGUAUGAUUUUUGCUCUUGUCACUGGGCAGUAUAAGUGAAGUGCUAUUCACUCCAAGAAACAUUGCAUUCCUUUCUUCUCACCAUUAUCUUACUUAUAGAGGGGUGUAUUUAUAGAAACCUUCUCAAAGACCAGAGGUGCACUGCCAUCAGUCUUCCAGCACCGUCCACUCAGUGCUCAGUGGGAGGAUAAAGACUCCUGUUCAGGGAAACACCCUUUCCCAUAGAAUCAUAGAAUGCUUUGUGUUGGAAGGCACCUUUAAAUGUCAUCUGCUUCAACUCCCCUUCCACAGACAGGGACAUUUUCAUCUAGAUCAGGUUGCUCAGAGCCCUGUCUGACCUAACCUUGAAUAUUUCCAGGAAUGGGGCCUCUGUCACCUCUCCGGGCAACCUGUGCAAGUGUUUCACCACCUCCAUUGUAAAAAAUUUCUUCUGUUUAUCAAGUCUGAAUCUACACUCUUAUCAUUUAAAACCCUUGCUCCUUGUCCUCUUUCUGUUGUCCCUACUAAAAAGUCAGUCUCCAUCAUUCUUGUAAGCCCUCUUCAGGUACUGGAAGGCCACUAGAAAGAAUCCUAGGAGCCCUCCCUUAUCCAGUUGAACAACCCAACUCUCUCAGCCUUUCCUUAUGGAAAAGGUGCUCCAGCCCUCUAACCAUCUUCAGAUUAAGCAAAAAAUGGCUUAUCAGGGAGGCAGGAUUUCACUUGGAAAGCUCCAGACUGAAAAACCAGUCUUUAACUUUAUUUGAAAGACAAGAUGGAAAACAAAUCUAAAUAUGCUUUCUUUGCUCAGCCACCACAAGGUACCUUGUGUAACUUCCUGUCAUGUUUCUGGCUGAGAGAACAUUCAGUGGGCAAUUUUUCACCAUAUUAAAGUCACCACUAUCAAACUCAUUCUGGAUCCAAAAGAGCCAAAUAAAUUUGAUUGUACUUGUAGAAAUGUAUAUUGGGCAAUGAUAAAGAACCUAGGCCAGCUGCUGCUCACUUAGCUCUUAUGUAGGCAACAUUUACAUGGAUUGCAAUGGGGAUGGCUAAAUGAGGGCUGGAUGGGGUAAUUGCACUGAGCUGGUGUUGGAGGGGCUGGUGCUUGGAGACCUAAUGACAUUCCUCAGCCUGGGAUAAUUCAGAAUCCCCAGAGACAGGGCAGCCAGGUACCUGCUGCCUUUGUUUCCAUUCCCAUUAGGAGAUAACUAGAGUUACACUGUAUGGAAAAGAUUCAGGCAAUGUGAUUAAAAAAAAAAAAAAGGAAAUAAAGUUCCUUUAUGAUUCCUCUAUGAUUUUGUGGCUCUUAGAGCAUGCUGGGUGGUGGAACUGGAAAUGUGGAAACACAGAACACAGACUUUAUUAGCUUGACAGACUAGAAACAGUGGUGAGUUUUAGCACUCCAUCACUGUUACUGGCCUUUGGUGAGAGUGUCUUUGGCCAGUGCUAUUUCCAGGGAGGAUUUCUCUGCCCCUAUGUAUAUCCUGCCUGUUGGGCACAUGAGAGCUGUGCUAUUUAGCCCUUCUUCCCCUUGUUUAUGUUCCUCAUUCCCACACAAUCCAUAGGCAAUGUUGUAUAGUGCUAUGCCCCUCCCCCAAACUUUCCCUGUUUCAAUCGGUGUCACCACAAAGGAAUAGAUUAUUACUGACACUGAUCCCAAUUUAAUCCUUCCAAUAAUCUGAUCUUUCCAAGCCUAUUUAUAUCCUUGAAAUGACAGUAGGGUUUAAAGUGAGACAAAUACCUGAGCCUAAGUGCUGGCACUAUCCACAGCAGUCUGGUCCAGUUUUGACCCUUCAGAAUAAAGUGUAACCCCAAAUAUUAUUUGAUAAAUCCCUUCCCAAGUGUUUGUAGUGCUAGUCUGGUCCUGGGUUCCUCUUUUUGACCAGCUUUUUCACAUUACAGGUUUAUUCUCCUAUACAGUAGUAUCAAGCUGAAGUCCCAAAAUAAGUUUUAAAACUCAUAAAAAUGUAGAAUUUCUUUUCCCUUUGUGGAUUUUAAUAGCUUUCUGGUGUCUGGAAAUGAUCUAGAAGUAAAGCUUUCAUAGCAGCGUAAGAAGUAGAAACCCAUUCUAGUUUGUUAUUUCAUCCAGCAACCUGAGAACUUUUUUUAUUUUCCUGGGCUAUAAGGUGAUCAGACAAUGUUUUCUUCCAUUCCCAAUCUCCUUAAGAAGCUUAUUAAUGCUUUACAUUGAAAAUAAAGACAGACCAAUCUGAAAACAAAGCCAUCCUUAGCGCUGAAUAUUGUAAAUGUGCUUGCUGGACCAUUUCCACUAUUAGUAACAAAUUCAUUUUAAUAUUGCUCCUGCUUCUUGCUAGAUCUGCAGAACCUCAGUUCACACAUAGCCAAGGAGUAGUUCAACCAGCAGUCAGCAGGUUUUUGGUUUUUUUUUCCCCACUUUUAUAAUUCAGUGCAGUGACUUGUUUAUAUAACCAAAUCCUUUAGUUUCUCCAAAAGGGACUUGGCUAUUCCACUUGAGCGACAACACCCGUGGAAGGUGAUGGUAUAUUUUUUCCAAAGCAAAGGCCUCAGUUUCCAGCAGAAUUUGCAACCCAGUAAUAAAUAUUUAAAGGAGUUAUAAUGGAACUGAAACAAAGAGUGCACACACACACACACACACACACGUACACACAUGUGUACAGACACACACACAAAGACAUGCACACUCACAGUCAAUUAGUCUGAGGUCAUUCUGGUGCAGAUGGUGCCUCUGUUCAAACCCUGAGAUAUUUUGUUUUUUCUGUCAGGAAACUUGGCCACCUCAGAAUUUUAAUACCCCAUAAAAAAACAUAUAAAAAAAUUAUUCUUUACUGUCUAUGUAGCAGAUCACUCGAACAUCCAUGUCAAAGGCAUUUUCUUCAAGAAAAUCUCCUUCUGCCCCUAAAAGAGUGUAAUAAAGAGUACAAUCCAUGCUGA